GGGUUGUAAACUUCUUUUAUAUGGGAAUAAAGUUUUCCACGUGUGGAAUUUUGUAUGUACCAUAUGAAUAAGGAUCGGCUAACUCCGUGCCAGCAGCCGCGGUAAUACGGAGGAUCCGAGCGUUAUCCGGAUUUAUUGGGUUUAAAGGGAGCGUAGGUGGACAGUUAAGUCAGUUGUGAAAGUUUGCGGCUCCACCGUAAAAUUGCAGUUGAUACUGGCUGUCUUGAGUACAGUAGAGGUGGGCGGAAUUCGUGGUGUAGCGGUGAAAUGCUUAGAUAUCACGAAGAACUCCGAUUGCGAAGGCAGCUCACUGGACUGCAACUGACACUGAUGCUCGAAAGUGUGGGUAUCAAACAGGAUUAGAUACCCUGGUAGUCCACACAGUAAA
rnacentral:rRNA from 1 species